rnacentral:misc_RNA from 1 species
GUGACAAAAUUAACGAAGGCAAGAGCAAGACAUUGACAUUCACCAGUUCACAUACUCUGAUAUCGCCCGCAGGCGCCGACUUAUCGUCGGGUUAUAGUGAAUUACAUACUGGUCUCUGCACUCGUAUCAUACCGCUACAGUUUCAAAGAGAGUGAUGCCGUCGUAUCGUAGUGCCUAUUUAUAACUUCCUGGCGGUAUCCCCAGAAAUACGAUUGAGUUCAUACAUGUAAAGUUUGUGAGUCUACGUAUAGUUCUUAUGUAGAAAACGAAUUAGGACGUUGGAUUUGUCGAAUAAGGAUUCAAUCAACAAGCUUAGUUAAACCUCGCCAUAUUGAGUUUGCCUAUCAUUAAACGCACUACCUGGCGUGGGCGAAUGUGGAUACUUGUCCUAUACAGCAAAUUAAUUUUAUGUUCCCCUGGCUAAUUUUGUGAGGUUAGAAUUGGUUGUUUCCAGUUUUCUAUCACAUGUAGUUGAAUAUGCAUAGAUAAAUUAAGAACCAACCAAUUCUUGAUUAGCUCGAUUGUACUAACUUCAGCCAAUUUUUAAAUUGGAUUCACUCCACCAUUUCUUUGAUUAAUAAUUACUACAGCUUUAACAAAAAUUCACAUGGGUGAUAGUCAUGAUUGGAGACCAUUUGUGUACGGAGGAUUCUCAUCUUGUACAGCUGAAUUUGGUACAUUCCCCAUUGAUACUACAAAAACAAGACUUCAAAUUCAGGGUCAAAAAUUGGAUGGUAGAUUUACUGUUGUUCGUUACAAUGGAAUGUUCCAUGCUUUGUCAAGAAUUACAAGAGAGGAAGGAGUUCGGGCUUUGUAUUCAGGUAUUUGGCCAGCACUCCUACGUCAGUCUACAUAUGGUACUAUCAAAUUUGGGAUUUACUACACACUAAAAAAAUGGAUUGAUCAUCCGGAAGUCGAAGACAUGAUGACCAAUAUAUUCUGUGGCAUUAUUGCUGGCGUGGUAUCCAGCGCAAUAGCCAAUCCAACAGAUGUUUUGAAAGUAAGAAUGCAAGCCUGCUCAACUUCACUGCAGCAAAAGUCUAUGUUUGAGUGUUUUGGAGAUGUUUAUAGACAGGAAGGCAUAUCGGGUUUAUGGCGGGGUGUAGGUCCGACAGCACAGAGGGCAGCGGUGAUAACAGCUGUUGAAUUGCCCAUUUAUGACAUUUGUAAGCAUAGGCUAAUACAGGGCAAUUUAAUGGGUGAUACAGUAUCUAAUCACUUUGUAUCAAGCUUCAUAUCAAGUUUGGGUGGUGCCAUAGCCUCGACUCCUAUUGACGUUGUGCGAGUGCGUCUGAUGAAUCAGCGACGCCUUAAAUCUGGAGUACGGUUCGGGUUUGGAAUGAGUAGUGAUUUUACUCUUCAUAAAUCGAGACUCUACCGUGGAACCAUAGAUUGCUUCAUACAGACCGUCCGACAUGAAGGUGUCAUGGCUCUUUAUCGUGGUUUCAUUCCAACUUGGUUGCGCAUGGGCCCCUGGAACAUGAUUUUCUUCAUUACAUACGAACAGCUAAAAAAGCUAUACUAAUUAAAUUUUAGGUGGUGUGUUACUGCUUUCAUUAAGUUAACACGAAAUUGCUCCCUACGUCCUUCCCUCCUCGCAUCUGACUAAGGGAUUUGUAUUAUCAGUACAUUUCGUCCGAGUUAGACUAAUACAAAUAAUAAAAGGGGUCAUCACCAAGACUGUUUUCGGAUAUUCAAACCUCCCGCCCAUCGAAGCUCAGUUUAAAGAAACCAUUAACUCCUCAAAGACCACAAGUACACCUGUUACCACCACCCGGUUCCAAAUCGAUGAUUGCUUGGAUUCAAGAAAAAACAAUGCUCGUGACUCGGUGUCGCCAACGUGAUACAAAGUUAUUCAACUCUUUACAUCAAACCUGUUGAGAAGGAUGCCCCAGGCUGGAUUACUCCAAUUGAAAAUGAAUGGACACAGGUAACAAGUUUAGAGAGACUUUUAUCAGAUCACCUUGCAACCUCUUACUUUCAUUUGAAAGUAAUUCAAGUAGGUCGUCCUAAUGCAAUAAUAAUUUCCGAUUUAAUUUUUUGAUUAGUUCAUUUAUAGCACUCAUGCAAGAUGCAACCACCAUUUAGACAUCUUAAAAACGUAUUUUAGGAUAUGCAAACUAUGGCACUAAGUUAAUUUUUAUAUAAUACUUCGCAUGUUUGUCGCAUGUGAAAAAGAAUAAAAAUGGAAUGUGAUGCCUAGGUAGCAUAAUGAGGUCAGAAGAUUGCCCAACAUCUAUGGAAAAAUGACUUGAUUGAUGAACCAGCUAUAUUUAGCAGGUUGGCUUUAUUGGAGAACUGUUAAACAUUUGAUAUUCAUAAUGUUCGCAAGGCUUUUAAGAAAAUAGUUUUCAUUGCACUGGUGACAAUUCGGAAUGGCGAGGUGCGAAUGAAUCGGAUUAAAAGUCAGCGUGGAAAUGCAAUAGUUCCGCAGCUGGCAAGAAAUGAGAGGACGAUUGGUGAUGAGACAGUUUAUUCUAAUCGCUGUAACUCAUGGACACGUCGACAUUCGUGCAUUUUUAAUAAAAAAAUAAGCGCGUUCAUUCCCUUCAACCAAUUGUCAACGCGAGGCCCCGUAGGAACCUUCCAUACGUCACUUUUAUUGUAGCUGACAGUGACUCUUCCAGGUUUGUUGUGGUCGUAGAACAGCAGACGACGAAGUUCAAAGCGGCAUUUUACCAUCGGGCAGAAUCCAAACGGUUGAUGCAUUGAAAAUGUCGGAGCUCUGUUGAUGAAUUUUCACCAGCACUCUUCCACAAGACGCGCGCGAAGCAAACGAUAGCAAAGGAGAUGUGGACUUGAAUUGGUUGUUUACCACCCGUGGCUUUCCCGCAUCCCAGGAUUAGUCUUGUACACCUUUUGCACUUGUACAGAGCGUUCGGGAACGAACUUAGUUGUGGAUGGGUUUGCUGUUGACAAGCAAGGGAAGGAUUUUUACCAAACUAGAUAGGAAUGAAAUUUCUUGUGGCUGGUUUGGUUGUUGACAAGCAAGGGAAGGAUUUUUUUUACCAAAGUAGACAGGAUAUUUAUUCUUAAUCCCACAAUGUCUUGACUACAAAUCAUGCUGAAUUAGAAUAGUAUGUUGAUCGAGGCUGGGUGCCAAAGCAAUGGAUGAUAAUUGUAAGCGCGAUUGGAAAUAUCCAUGAUUUAUUAACGUUCUCUCAUGUUACGGUAUUUUAUUAAAGACAAAUUGAAGUGUA